AUCGCGAUUUUUCUAACGAUUAAUCGUGCAGCCCUACCGCUUAGCUUAGCGUUAGCAUGCUGUGCUUGCGGAAUGUUGAAGUUGCGUUAACAGUAUAAGGCAGUUGUUUCUGUCCCAGUCUCCACUUUACCAUUGCGCUCUCAUCCUUUUAUACAAUAAAAAAUAAAAGAAAUGUCCAUAUUCACGUCAUAAACUGCACUACUGUUUUCCUCCUAUUACACAUAAACUAAAUCAGCUGAAUGUAGCAAGAGUGCAAGAACGGAUAAGCAGGGUCGAUAGGCAGGCAGACUAACGAUUUGAAGGAAGUAGACUACUGGGAACCAGUUCUUGACAAGAACCAGUUCUCGAUUCCCAUCCCUAAAUAGCACAGAGCGGUACACUAGAUUCACACCUACUUAUAAAAAUGUGGAAGAUGGUGUGCUUGCAAAGGCCACUGUACUUUACCUCUUCCUGGAGCUGCACAGAGUCCAAACAUGUUCCAGGGUUGAGGAAACUUUUAUUUUCCUUCUGUUUUGUUUUUCAACCCAGUGUCACAUUUGGUGAAAAAUCCGGACUGCAAUAUUGCCUAAAGCUCUCUGUGCUGUACAGACCACAGCGCUCAUACUUUUUAUGUUAGUACCAAAUGUGCUUAAAAAUCCUAGAGCUACUUUUAAGUCUGAGAACUCAAUGUGAUGUGCUUCCCUUUGAUUUUUUUUUUUUUUUUAAAGCAUUUCCACAUUAUGUUUUUGUUGGUACACUAUGAUCUUGUUGAGACUUAAUGAUAACCCUUUAACUGUCGUUUUUAAACAUACAACAUCAGAGUUUUGUUGCCUUAUCAGUUUCUCCCUGUGGGAGUCCUUUAUAUUCUUUUCCCUUCAUUCCACCUCUCUUUUCUCUAACCUUUUGGACUAUGUUCAGCUGCUGCUGUUGAUAAGAAUGCUCACUGGUAGGCUGUGUCUUGUCCUUUUUUGUUUUUUGUUUUAUUCCCUUUUCUUUCAAUAUAAGUGUCCAGUCCAAUCACUACCAGAUAGAGCCAUUGUUCUGCUUUAUUGCUAAGCUUGAACCAGAGUGGUUCUGACAACUGUCAAACCUUACAUAUCCCCCAAAAAUCACUUUUUAGCAGUUGUUUGAAACUGUCUUAACGCCACUGAAAAGCUGCACUAUGUAAUCCAUUGUCAACGUCCUUGCCCAUAUUUCCACUACUACCUGCCUUUAAGAAAUCAAUGGUAGUUUGUCUUGGUACAAAAAGACAGAUAACACUAACAUCAGUUUCCCUUUUGUGUGAAGUUUGCUUAGUCAUUCAUGUAGACUUUCCCAAACUUCUUUUGAAUGUCCAUCUUUGCCUGUUGGUCAGAAAUAUUCAUUACAACAAAAGCCCGAUGAUUCUCACUUCAUUCAAAAAAUAAAAGAAGAAGAAAUCAUUAAGGACAGCCUUUCUUAGCUACUCAGGAUGAGUGAUGUGCCUGUGACUAUGAACUGUUGCUGUCUUGACUCCACAUUUGAUUCCACCAGGUUGACUCAAGAAUGUGACUCAGAUCGAGUAACCUAAGACACAAUGGAUCAUGGAGACUGAGGAACAAAACAAAAAAGUCUGUCACUCCACUCUGUCUGCACAUACUGCAGUGUGCGCGAUCAACUCAGUCAUGCGCUCUCUCACAAGUCUGGGCCGAUGCCUAAGGUAAAAGAGGCUCUCCCCCUUGUUACAGCAGGGGUUGGUGCUGCCACUUUGCUCUGUAUACGAUGCUUGUGUAUCAUAAUGUAGCUGCUCCUUACCCUGUCUCCUUCAGAAAACAUAAUCUGCUUUAACAGAAAAAAUCAUCCUGUAAUGUUCUCUAGUCUUGUGCACUGUGGAAGAAAAAAAGCUUCUAUUUGAGAUUUUUAGCUUCCUGCCUAUUAAUGACAAGAGUUAUUGGUGUCAGUGUUUCACAGAACUACCAGAGUCCUCAGCAGUAAGUCUCAAACCCAAAGACUGUACAGUGAUCUUGGGAAAACCUUGAGUCAGUUUGAUUUUACUCAAAGCAUACCGAAAGGGGAAGCGUGUAACGAAAGUAUUUUAAAUUCCCCAAUAUUUGAAAUCACGGGAACUUAACAUAUUUUCACAAAUAUGUCCAGCAGAAAUUCCAGUAAAUGUGAGUAAGGCUUGGGAAAAGAAUGAAACUAACUUCUUCCAACCAGAUGACCAGAUGCUUUAUAUGGGCAAGAAUAGGACAUUGAAUUAGGCAUAGCUGAAAACCUUUAGCUGUAAAGAAAACUAAACUGUUAGCCACACUGACAACAUAGCCACUCAUCACAUUGUCUAACCUUAAUUUACGUACACAACCUGGGAAACCAAUGCAGCACAGUUCAAUCUUACAGGAAAAUUAAGUUGGCAGCGUAGUAGCCGAGGAAAAAUACAGCAAGUAUGUGUACUGUCAGAGUCAGUCUGUCCUCCAUUUUAGAGCUGCCAUUUCAGAUUUUCCUGCAGAACUUUUCACAGUUAAUUAAACUUUUCAUCGUAUGAAGGGUGGUGAAUGCCUUCGUUGUACAACAGCCAGUUCUCUCUCUGGAAAGACCUAAUUGGUCAGUCUCUAGUCAUGGGCUAAAGCCUAAAAAGAGAGCUGAGAGAAGUUGCACAAGUCUAGUUUUGUCUUGGACAACAUGCAGAAAGAUUAUUGUGGAAGCUUACAGAAAAAUGUCUGCUUAACUUUGCUACUUUAAUAAAAUUCAGUAGCCUGUCAAGGAAGCCACCAGACUUAAAGCAAAUUGCUCCAGCCUACUAUUGUUCAGUCUGAAUGAUUCAUAUUCUGAAAUGGCCACUGUGCACCAGCCCUGACCUUUGCUCAUGUUACACAGUACAGUUUCUAAAUGUUAUUAAAGAGGAUGACACCAGAUGAAAUCAUGGAGGUUUUUAGCUGUGGUGAAAGUUUCAGUAGUAAUGCAGAAGUGAAAGCUGUUCUGGUCAUUUAUUAAAAAAACGUAAUGUCUGAUGCCUAACCCAAACAGAGAUUUAGGUUAUAUUUGACUGAGGUCAUGGUGAGAUAAAUUAGGAUUUACAAAAUAAAAUUAGAACAAGUACACUGAAGAGUUUAACUCAAAGUGGAAACAGAAAUGUGUUGGACAUGUUUGUGAAAAUGCGAGUCAGCACUGCAUAUGAACCCAUUGGAGACGUGCAAGGCUUAUAAAUGGCUGCCCUGUGAAUUGAACUGACUCAUAUUAUUUUGGCAAACUGAAACAUCACGAUGCCAGUUCUGGAUGCUCAAGAGACAAAAAAAAAAAAUCCUAAUUGGGCAUAGAGUCCUGUUCUGUAAGGCCAUGUAUUCAAUUGCACCAAAUCUAAAAUGGCUGCCAACAGACAGCUCUUUAAAAAAAAAGAAAAAAAUGUCCAUGUAACCUUUACUCAAGCCGUUCUGGGGAAAAUCACCGAACAGUGCUCUGCUGAAGGAAGCUCAUGCUGUAUCUUAUCUCUGUGCCCUGUGAGAGCCCUGGUGUGCGUUUGUCAAGAUGGAGCAGAGAUAGAUAGGGCAGUUCAGUCCAAUGCUGGCCCAUAGCAUUUGAACAGACCUCAAAUACUCUUUCUUGUCACCAUUCAUCAUCUCUUAGGUCAUUUUCAGUGAAGUAUCUCAAUUACAUUCUGACAAUGACAACUGCUGUUACAAAUGUCUUAAAGGUGUUUGCACAUUCAGCUCAGUAGUGUUUUUGUGUCUAAAUGGGGUGCUUGUGAAGGCCCUUCCUUGGUUUAAUGAGCACUGUUGAUUAACGGUGCGGCACAAAUAAAGGGCCGGAAGAUAAGGUUAAGAGAUUUGGUCAAGGUAAGGGUAAUCCAAGUAUCCCAUUUAGAUUUUACCUUGUUAUAGUUCAGAGCAGUAAAUGCAUUUCUGAGCUGAUUAAUUUGCCAAUGCAAACUAUUGGCCUUACUGAAGCCUCAUUAAAACUAAGAAGUGACUGCUGUGCCAUGCCUGCUUGAUGUUGGGGGAGGAACAGUCCAUUUAACCACUAUGCAACCCACUUGUGCUUGUCUGUUUCUCUCCUUUGUCUGUGUUCGCAGUUCUAAACAGAGCACCCUGUGUGUCAGGAAAACUAUAUCCUCACACACAAAGAGAAGGAGAGAAUGAACAGUAAAUAUUCAAACUACACAAAACGUUGUUCAACAGAAAAACGGAUCGAUAAAGAGUUGAAGCUCUCCGUGCCAAGUGACUCCUCGUAAAUGGGUACUUAAACUUUUUCUCUUUUCCCCCCUCCCUCCUUUUGGUGGGGUGAGAUGAGGAGCCAAACGGACUUGGUGUUUAAAGUGAGAAAAUGAAAGCUGUGGUUCCUAAUGUCCUGUCUAAGUGGAUGUCUCUAUGUGUGAUGAAGCGUGAAGUGCUCUGUAACCCUAACAAAAUGACUAUCACUGUGUUCCUGUGCUUUUAAAUGGCCUCCUCACUGUCACUAUCUCUGCCUCCAUCCUCCUCAGUAUGAAAUGGGAAGGCAAAAUGGAGGACAUCCAUAAAUAGAGUAAUUGCAUGAAGGGCAGGUGUUUAUUGUACCCUCAGCCCUCACACACUCUAUAAUGAUCCAAAAAGGUCAAAUUGUUAAUGGUGCUCGAACUUCAUAUUUUCCUCUGUCCAUACUGAAUAUUGUAUAAAGUUAGAUUAUGUGUAGUCUGUUUAAUCUUCUAUGAUAGUUCACACCUCAAAACACAAAAAUGCUCAAACUGCAAAUUUAUCCAUGUGCUUGCCACAACGAUGGAUACGUAAUCUUUUUUUAUAUAACUUCAUUAAAUCACAAUGGACUCCUGCUAGUGAUCAACAAGUGAGUUUCGAAGUCAACACAAAUCUGUUGGGGUGAAAAACUGUAGCUUAUUGUGUUGAAAACGUAUGUGACUCGGACUGCAGCGGGUUUCCUUCAGGAUUUCUCAGGAGUUUUGCUGCAUUCAAUUUACCCUCUACCUUCAGAAGCUACUGCAGCGAAGCCUCCACACAGCAUGACGCAGCCACCAUCACACUUGUGGGGAUAAUGUGUUUGUAGUGGUGAGGAGUUACUGACUUGUGAAAGCAGUGGGCAGAAUUCAUAAAAUAAGCCUAAUUCCACGUGGAUCCUCCACUUUUGUAAUGCCAGCUUCCUCUAUAGUAGCCCGCUGGUUUUAUAGGUAGUGUUUCCAUGUCAGCUUUAGGAUUGUGUAGACCUCCUGUAGACAUCUUGGUGCUCUUCUUCACUAAAUGUUGCACAAGUACAGUGUGCUCUAUAGAGAUGAGCAAAUUUUUUCAUGAUAUUAAACUGAUGAGUCAUGUGACUUAGCUUUUCUCUAAGUAAUACUUUAGAGUGACAAAUCACUCAAGUGUUUGUAAUGCAUUUAUAGUACUAGCCCAACUUUUUUUUUUAAAUAUUAAAUGAACAUAUAAAGGGAAUGAAUAGUUUUUACAGAUGUUUUACAUUCUGUGAUGAUGAUCUUUGGUGCAACAGUUUUUCUAUGUGUCUGGCUUCUGUGUUGCCAAUGAAUUUACCACAAAAGUUAUUUUAGUCUAACACAAUUUAUUGAAACAUUGUAACACAGACAUGAUUUAAUAAACAAAACUUGAACUAUAA